GACGAACGCUGGCGGCGUGCUUAACACAUGCAAGUCGAACGGUAAGGCCCUUCGGGGUACACGAGUGGCGAACGGGUGAGUAACACGUGGGUGAUCUGCCCUGCACUUCGGGAUAAGCCUGGGAAACUGGGUCUAAUACCGGAUAGGACCACUGCCUGCAUGGGUGGUGGUGGAAAGCUUUUGCGGUGUGGGAUGGGCCCGCGGCCUAUCAGCUUGUUGGUGGGGUGAUGGCCUACCAAGGCGACGACGGGUAGCCGGCCUGGGAGGGUGACCGGCCACAGUGGGACUGGGAUACGGCCCAGAGUCCUACGGGAGGCAGCGGUGGGGAAUGUUGAACAAUGGGCGCAAGCCUGAUGCAGCGACGCCGCGUGAGGGAUGACGGCCUUCGGGUUGUAAACCUCUUUCAGCACCGACGAAGCGCAAGUGACGGUAGGUGCAGAAGAAGGACCGGCCAACUACGUGCCAGCAGCCGCCGUAA
rnacentral:rRNA from 1 species